rnacentral:rRNA from 1 species
UACGAAGGGGCUAGCGUUGCUCGGAAUCACUGGGCGUAAAGGGUGCGUAGGCGGGUCUUAAGUCAGGGGUGAAAUCCUGGAGCUCAACUCCAGAACUGCCUUUGAUACUGAAGAUCUUGAGUUCGGGAGAGGUGAGUGGAACUGCGAGUAUAGAGGUGAAAUUCGUAGAUAUUCGCAAGAACACCAGUGGCGAAGGCGGCUCACUGGCCCGAUACUGACGCUGAGGCACGAAAGCGUGGGGAGCAAACAGG